UACAGAGGUCCCAAGCGUUGUUCGGAUUCACUGGGCGUAAAGGGUGCGUAGGUGGCCAGGUAAGUUUGGUGUGAAAGCUCGGAGCUUAACUCCGAAAAGUCAUUGAAUACUAUCUGGCUGGAGGGUCGGAGGGGAGACUGGAAUUCUCGGUGUAGCAGUGAAAUGCGUAGAUAUCGAGAGGAACACCAGUGGCGAAGGCGGGUCUCUGGGCAGUAACUGACGCUGAGGAGCGAAAGCGUGGGGAGCGAACAGG
rnacentral:rRNA from 1 species